GAUGAACGCUGGCGGCGUGCUUAACACAUGCAAGUCGAACGAUGAAGCUCAGCUUGCUGGGUGGAUUAGUGGCGAACGGGUGAGUAACACGUGAGUAACCUGCCCUUAACUCUGGGAUAAGCCUGGGAAACUAGGUCUAAUACCGGAUAGGAGCGCCUACCGCAUGGUGGGUGUUGGAAAGAUUUAUCGGUUUUGGAUGGACUCGCGGCCUAUCAGCUUGUUGGUGAGGUAUUGGCUCACGAAGGCGACGACGGGUAGCCGGCCUGAGAGGGUGACCGGCCACACUGGGACUGAGACACGGCCCAGACUCCUACGGGAGGCAGCAGUGGGGAAUAUUGCACAAUGGGCGAAAGCCUGAUGCAGCGACGCCGCGUGAGGGAUGACGGCCUUCGGGUUGUAAACCUCUUUCAGUAGGGAAGAAGCGAAAGUGACGGUACCUGCAGAAGAAGCACCGGCUAACUACGUG
rnacentral:rRNA from 1 species